GUCCAGUUGGCGAAUCCCAAAUAGGACGAAACACGUGUCCUGGAU
rnacentral:hammerhead_ribozyme from 1 species